CACCGCGGUUAUACGAGAGGCCCAAGUUGAUAGCCUACGGCGUAAAGAGUGGUUAAGAAUUCCAACCGAUUAAAGCCGAAUGCCCUCAAAGCUGUUAUACGCUUCCGAAGGUAAGAAGAACUACCACGAAAGUGGCUUUAUAAUAUCUGAACCCACGAAAGCUAGGGAA
rnacentral:rRNA from 1 species